UAUAUAAUCAGAGAUUCGUUUCUAUCGAAUGGUCUGCAAGUCCACCGUCUCCAACUCUCUCACCUACCAUUUUUUUUUCCCCAUUUCGCAUCAAACGUUAGGCUCUACAGACCAGUCAUGUCGUCCAAGCAAGGAGGCAAGGCUAAACCAUUGAAGCAGCCAAAGGCUGAUAAGAAGGAGUACGAUGAGGUGACUCUAACUUUAUCUGCUCCAUCGCAUGAUUGUUUUAUUAUAUUAAUGAUCGUAGUCAUUAUUUUUACACACACUCUAAUUUAUGGAAUGUUAAUUCGUUGUUACUGCAGCAUGACAUGGCCAACCUGCAGAAGAAGAAAGACGAGGAAAAGGCACUUAAGGAACUGAGAGCCAAGGCGUCGCAGAAGGGAUCCUUUGGAGGCUCUGGACUUAAGAAGAGCGGCAAGAAAUGAUCCGUUUUAAUCACGAAGCUUGUAUUUGACAAGUGCAAUUUAUCAACUUAAUAACAGAUAAUCGUGUGUUUGUGUAACUUGUAUCAUGUUUCGCCACUUUUUCAUAAUAUUGAUAAAUGGUUUCUGCAUUCA